rnacentral:lncRNA from 1 species
CCAGGCUCAAGCGAUAUUCCCACCUCAGCCUCUUGAGUAGCUGGGACUACAGGUGAGUACCACCAAGCCCAGUUAUUUUUAAAAUGAUUUUUAUAGAGACGGGAUCUCACUAUGUUGCCUAGGCUGGUCUCGAACUCCUAGGCUCAAGAGAUCCUCCUGCCUCGACCUCUCAAAGUGCUGGGAUUACAGGUGUGAACCUCUGUCCGGCCAAUAAGCUGUGUUUUAACAAGUGCUCAGGGUGGUUCUGCUGCAGGGAACUACUGGCUGAUGGAUACAUGGAUUCCGUUAUCCACCCAUUCAUUGAUUCCUGCAUUCACUCAUCCAACCCUAAAGGAAGUAACCAAAACAAAGACAAUUCCAUGUGUAGAAUUCCUAGCGCUGUCAGCUAAAAUGAAAGUUUCUUCAAGAUGGGCCUCCAGGGCUAUUGCAAAACAGCUGCUGAUGGAAGGAAAUUCCACUUGCUGUGCCUUAUACCAGGCCGGGAGUGUCACAAGAGCCCUUUACAAGCUGCUCCCACACUGACCAAAAUUGUCUUCUCGUGAGUGCAAAGCAGGCAAGUCCAAGGGGCUCAGGUUAGCAUGGU